rnacentral:lncRNA from 1 species
AUGGAUCAUUUCGUGUGUUUUUUGAUUAGGACCCUGGCUCUGGGUACACAUCGUGGUCUGACCGGUGACCACAUGGACCUAGCUGAAGCUUUUAUGGAGACCUAUUAUCACAGUCCAGCUGGCUAUUGUGAACCAGACAAGUUUCAACUCUGGGGUGACGAUGGCAAGUCCAACAGGACAGCUGGGGUCCAGAACACCUUGGAAGGCCAGGGACAUAUAGGUUUUUCGGGGUAA